GAUGAACGCUGGCGGCGUGCCUAAUACAUGCAAGUCGAGCGAACAGACGAGGAGCUUGCUCCUCUGACGUUAGCGGCGGACGGGUGAGUAACACGUGGAUAACCUACCUAUAAGACUGGGAUAACUUCGGGAAACCGGAGCUAAUACCGGAUAAUAUAUUGAACCGCAUGGUUCAAUAGUGAAAGACGGUUUUGCUGUCACUUAUAGAUGGAUCCGCGCCGCAUUAGCUAGUUGGUAAGGUAACGGCUUACCAAGGCAACGAUGCGUAGCCGACCUGAGAGGGUGAUCGGCCACACUGACAAUAAGACACGGUCCAGACUCCUACGGGAGGCGGCAGUGAGGAAUCUUCCGCAAUGGGCGGAAGCCUGACGGAGCAACGCCGCGUGAGUGAUGAAGGUCUUCGGAUCGUAAAACUCUGUUAUUAGGGAAAAACAAGUGUGUAAGUAACUAUGCACGUCUUGACGGUACCUAAUCAAAAAGCCACGGCUAAAUACGUG
rnacentral:rRNA from 1 species